rnacentral:rRNA from 1 species
AAUGACUAAGACUAGCCAUGCACGUCUAAGUACAAACUAAAUGAUGGUGAAACUGCAAAUGGCUCAUUACAACGGUUAUGAUGUACCCGGGAGUUCCGAUGGAUAUUUCCAGUAACACUAGAACUAAUACAUGUCCCUGCGUUUAUUAGUUUCGCACAGUCCGUCGCUGAGUCAUGGUAAACAGUUGAUCGACUCGACGUCCCGGAACAGUUUCCGCCCCAUCAGCUUCGAUGGUUGGGUAUUGGCCUACCAUUGCAACAACGGGUAACGAGGAAUUAGGGUUUGAUUUCGGAGAGGGAGCCUGAGAAACGGCUACCACAUCUACGGAUGGCAGCAGGCGCGCAAAUUACCCAAUGCAGACACUGUGAGGUAGUGACGAGAAAUAAUAAAGCGGGACUUCUGUUUCGCUUUUAAAAUGAGGAAUAACCAAAGGUCAUUCCCGAUUAGCAACUGAUGGGAAAAGUCUGGGUGCCAGCAGCCGCGGUAAUACCAGCGUCAGU